AUUGAACGCUGGCGGCAUGCCUUACACAUGCAAGUCGAACGGCAGCGGACCUUCGGGUGCCGGCGAGUGGCGAACGGGUGAGUAAUAUAUCGGAACGUGCCUUUCAGUGGGGGAUAACGUAGCGAAAGUUACGCUAAUACCGCAUAUUCUCUGAGGAGGAAAGCAGGGGACCUUCGGGCCUUGCUCUGAUAGAGCGGCCGAUAUCAGAUUAGCUAGUUGGUGGGGUAAAGGCCUACCAAGGCGACGAUCUGUAGCGGGUCUGAGAGGAUGAUCCGCCACACUGGGACUGAGACACGGCCCAGACUCCUACGGGAGGCAGCAGUGGGGAAUUUUGGACAAUGGGCGAAAGCCUGAUCCAGCCAUGCCGCGUGAGUGAAGAAGGCCUUCGGGUUGUAAAGCUCUUUCGGCCGGGAAGAAAUCGCACAGGCUAAUACCUUGUGUGGAUGACGGUACCGGAAUAAGAAGCACCGGCUAACUACGUGCCAGCAGCCGCCGUAA
rnacentral:rRNA from 1 species